GGAUGAGCCCGCGGCCUAUCAGCUUGUUGGUGGGGUAAUGGCCUACCAAGGCUUCGACGGGUAGCCGGCCUGAGAGGGUGACCGGCCACACUGGGACUGAGACACGGCCCAGACUCCUACGGGAGGCAGCAGUGGGGAAUAUUGGACAAUGGGCGAAAGCCUGAUCCAGCAACGCCGCGUGAGGGAUGACGGCCUUCGGGUUGUAAACCUCUUUCAGCACAGACGAAGCGCAAGUGACGGUAUGUGCAGAAGAAGCACCGGCCAACUACGUGCCAGCAGCCGCGGUAAUACGUAGGGUGCGAGCGUUGUCCGGAAUUAUUGGGCGUAAAGGGCUCGUAGGCGGUUUGUUGCGUCAGGAGUGAAAACUCGGGGCUUAACCCCGAGCCUGCUUCUGAUACGGGCAGACUUGAGGUGUGCAGGGGAGAACGGAAUUCCUGGUGUAGCGGUGAAAUGCGCAGAUAUCAGGAGGAACACCGGUGGCGAAGGCGGUUCUCUGGGCAUUACCUGAC
rnacentral:rRNA from 1 species